rnacentral:rRNA from 1 species
UACAGAGGGUGCGAGCGUUAAUCGGAAUUACUGGGCGUAAAGCGUGCGCAGGCGGUUCGUUGUGUCGGUGGUGAAAGCCCCGGGCUCAACCUGGGAAUGGCCAUGGAAACUGGCGAACUGGAGUGUGGCAGAGGGGGGUGGAAUUCCGCGUGUAGCAGUGAAAUGCGUAGAGAUGCGGAGGAACACCGAUGGCGAAGGCAGCCCCCUGGGCUAGCACUGACGCUCAGGCACGAAAGCGUGGGGAGCAAACAGG